CAAAACCAAGGGCCUAACCGCAAAAAGGGAUCCCCAACCCAAAACCAAAAGAAACCCUCUCCCGUUUGCCUCCACGCCGCUUCAGUUUGAAAACCCACCGCCACGUCGCCGCCGCCGCCGCCGCCGCCGCCGACGCCGAGAUGGCUCGCACGAAGCACCCGGCGGUGAGGAAGUCGAAGGCGGAGCCCAAGAAGAAGCUCCAGUUCGAACGCUCCCCUCGGCCGUCGAAGGCGCAGCGCGCUGGUGGCGGCACGGGUACCUCGGCGACCACGAGGAGCGCGGCUGGAACAUCGGCUUCAGCAGGGACGCCUAGGCAGCAAACGAAGCAGAGGAAGCCACACCGCUUCCGUCCAGGCACAGUGGCACUGCGGGAGAUCAGGAAAUUUCAGAAAACCACCGAACUGCUGAUCCCGUUUGCACCAUUUUCUCGGCUGGUCAGGGAGAUCACUGAUUUCUAUUCAAAGGAUGUGUCACGGUGGACCCUUGAAGCUCUCCUUGCAUUGCAAGAGUGGUUUUCCCUCUCCUGCAGGCAGCAGAAUACCACUUAGUGGACAUAUUUGAAGUGUCAAAUCUCUGCGCCAUCCAUGCUAAGCGUGUUACCAUCAUGCAAAAGGACAUGCAACUUGCCAGGCGUAUCGGUGGGCGGAGGCCAUGGUGAAAAUUUGUUUGCGAGCCAUGCAGCAUGAUGGACAAGGAGCAACAUGUGUCGUUGAUUAACAUUUUAGAAAGUAGUGUAGAUGUAUCUUCACAUAGGGAUCAACUUACCCUUCGUUCCCAUUCUAAUUCAGUUGAUGUUAGUAUUUACCUUUUGCUCCAUUUGGAUUGGUCGAAUUCAGGAUUUCAUCAAACAGUCGAUUGUGAAAUGUGAACCAGGAAUUGUUGUGUUGAUUGCAAUAAUGGGUUCCUCUCACCUGCUUCUUCCA